AAGGAUCAUUAUUGAAUACGAUUGGUACUGAUGCUGGCCCUUCACUGGGCAUGUGCUCGUCCAUCUAUUUAUCUUCUCUUGUGCACAUCUUGUAGUCUUGGAUGAACCCUUUCGCACUCGUGCGGUCUGGGAGUUGCGAAAUUAAACCUUUGCUUCUCCUGCUUGUCCAAGGCUAUGUUUUCAUAUACACUAUAAAGUUACAGAAUGUCUAUUAACGACUUGUGCUUGUCACGGUCAUUAAACCUAUACAACUCUCAGCAACGGAUCUCUUGGCUCUCCUAUCGAUGAAGAACGCAGCGAAAUGCGAUAAGUAAUGUGAAUUGCAGAAUUCAGUGAAUCAUCGAAUCUUUGAACGCACCUUGCGCCCUUUGGUAUUCCGAAGGGCAUGCCUGUUUGAGUGUCAUUAAAUUAUCAACCUUGCUCGCUUUUACCGGCUUGAGUUAGGCUUGGAUGUGAGGGUCUUUGCUGGCUUCCUUCAGUGGAUGGUCUGCUCCCUUUAAAUGCAUUAGUGGGAUCUCUUGUGGACCGUCACUUGGUGUGAUAAUUAUCUAUGCCAUCUUGACUUUGAAGCAAACUAAUGGGAACCUGCUCAUAACCGUCCUUUUCAAGGACAACUCUUGACAUUUUGACCUCAAAUCAGGUAGGACUACCCGCUGAACUUAA
rnacentral:rRNA from 1 species